UUAUGUAACGUUAUACAUUUUAAUUUUAUGUAUUCAUAAUUUCAUACACAAAGCCGCAGUCGAAAGGAGAUUCUCCGACUUCAAAAGAUGUGCAGACGAAGAAUGCAGUAUGCUCCUGUGCAGGGGGAAAGCUUUCAGCGAUUUCACCGGACCAGACUGUCGGUUUCUGUCAUUUAAAAAAGGAGAGACUAUAUAUGUCUACUAUAAACUCUCAGGCAGACGGACAGAUAUAUGGGCAGGGAGUGUUGGUAACCGCUUUGGUUACUUCAAUAAGGACCAACUUGUAAUCAAUCACA